GGGGGCGUAAAGGUUUCGACGGGGACUUGGAAGUUCAGUAAGCGGGUAGAGCGGGCGAAGGCUCUUUAAUCGUCGCACCUAAAUUAAACGCUAAAUCUAAUACUAGAACCUUAGCUUUCGCUGCCUGAUUAUAGGCGGCAGCCUGCGCAGGUCAGCACCACGGGUCCUGCCAGGUCCAAUGAGUGGUCAACGUCUCGGAAAAGUUUCCCGGUUUCUCUGACGUAUUAGGGAAUACCCUGCCGGUCAGCCUGACGGCUGGCGGGCCGGCGGGGGAAUUUUAAUAGGCCGUCUGCACCCGGAGAAAGCUGAGUGGAUAGGUUUUCGGACGCGGGUUCGAUUCCCGCCGCCUCCACCA
rnacentral:tmRNA from 1 species